UGCAUACGGCGGACGUGUAAUAAUUUAUUCAAUUUGAAUGUUUAGGCUUGUACAGUUAAUUUUGAAUUAAGGUUAACAGAAAUUAAUUGCGCUUGUUGUAAAUCUGCGCGAAGGAGGGAUGGCUAUCCAAAAUUAAACAAAGGAAGAGCAACAACAAGAAGAAAUAAUUGAAUCUUUGUUAUAAAUACUUGCCAUUCUGAAAACAUUUGCUUCGAAUAUCCAAGGCUACUUCAUCGAGUGAAUUUGCUAGUAGAUAACUCACACCUAGGGUUCCGCAUCAGAAUGGUACAUUGGAACCUUAAUACUGGGCUAAAUGAAGAAGAGAAAGCAAUUGUUAUAAGUAACUAAUCAUUAGAACGCCUAAUUAUAAGAUGGAAGGUUAAACAUUAUCUUGGCGUGAUUUUGAAAUUAUUGAAAUACGUUAUGGGUUAUCCAUGGUACCCACCAAAGGUUUAGUUAUCAGUAGUUGAUGUAGUACUGAUCAUUGCUGCAUUAGACGUUGUCUUCGGUAA